GGCGGAGAGCGCGUGAGAGCAGUAGUAGUGAGAGCAACAGAGGAAAGACGAACAAGAAGAAGAAGUAGCAGAAAAAACAAAAACAGCAUAGAAUGAGUGGCUCGCAGAAUGCACAGUGACAAGUCAAACAAAAGUGAAGAAAAUAACAAAUGAGCCACAA